AAACCAUGGUGAGGGCAUUGAGCUUGGUAGCCCUUGAAUAUCUCCCAGGCUUCACUGAAUCCUUCCAAGCUCUUCUGUUGAAAGCUGGAGAUCUCAUUUCUCAGAUU
rfam:Brassica oleracea var. oleracea cultivar TO1000 chromosome C9, whole genome shotgun sequence